UGCAAGUCGAACGAACUCUGGUAUUGAUUGGUGCUUGCAUCAUGAUUUACAUUUGAGUGAGUGGCGAACUGGUGAGUAACACGUGGGAAACCUGCCCAGAAGCGGGGGAUAACACCUGGAAACAGAUGCUAAUACCGCAUAACAACUUGGACCGCAUGGUCCGAGUUUGAAAGAUGGCUUCGGCUAUCACUUUUGGAUGGUCCCGCGGCGUAUUAGCUAGAUGGUGGGGUAACGGCUCACCAUGGCAAUGAUACGUAGCCGACCUGAGAGGGUAAUCGGCCACAUUGGGACUGAGACACGGCCCAAACUCCUACGGGAGGCAGCAGUAGGGAAUCUUCCACAAUGGACGAAAGUCUGAUGGAGCAACGCCGCGUGAGUGAAGAAGGGUUUCGGCUCGUAAAACUCUGUUGUUAAAGAAGAACAUAUCUGAGAGUAACUGUUCAGGUAUUGACGGUAUUUAACCAGAAAGCCACGGCUAACUACGUGCCAGCAGCCGCGGUAAUACGUAGGUGGCAAGCGUUGUCCGGAUUUAUUGGGCGUAAAGCGAGCGCAGGCGGUUUUUUAAGUCUGAUGUGAAAGCCUUCGGCUCAACCGAAGAAGUGCAUCGGAAACUGGGAAACUUGAGUGCAGAAGAGGACAGUGGAACUCCAUGUGUAGCGGUGAAAUGCGUAGAUAUAUGGAAGAACACCAGUGGCGAAGGCGGCUGUCUGGUCUGUAACUGACGCUGAGGCUCGAAAGUAUGGGUAGCAAACAGGAUUAGAUACCCUGGUAGUCCAUACCGUAAACGAUGAAUGCUAAGUGUUGGAGGGUUUCCGCCCUUCAGUGCUGCAGCUAACGCAUUAAGCAUUCCGCCUGGGGAGUACGGCCGCAAGGCUGAAACUCAAAGGAAUUGACGGGGGCCCGCACAAGCGGUGGAGCAUGUGGUUUAAUUCGAAGCUACGCGAAGAACCUUACCAGGUCUUGACAUACUAUGCAAAUCUAAGAGAUUAGACGUUCCCUUCGGGGACAUGGAUACAGGUGGUGCAUGGUUGUCGUCAGCUCGUGUCGUGAGAUGUUGGGUUAAGUCCCGCAACGAGCGCAACCCUUAUUAUCAGUUGCCAGCAUUAAGUUGGGCACUCUGGUGAGACUGCCGGUGACAAACCGGAGGAAGGUGGGGAUGACGUCAAAUCAUCAUGCCCCUUAUGACCUGGGCUACACACGUGCUACAAUGGAUGGUACAACGAGUUGCGAACUCGCGAGAGUAAGCUAAUCUCUUAAAGCCAUUCUCAGUUCGGAUUGUAGGCUGCAACUCGCCUACAUGAAGUCGGAAUCGCUAGUAAUCGCGGAUCAGCAUGCCGCGGUGAAUACGUUCCCGGGCCUUGUACACACCGCCCGUCACACCAUGAGAGUUUGUAACACCCAAAGUCGGUGGGGUAACCUUUUAGGAACCAGCCGCCUAAGGUGGAC
rnacentral:rRNA from 2 species